GUGCCAGCAGCCGCGGUAAUACGUAGGGUGCGAGCGUUAAUCGGAAUUACUGGGCGUAAAGCGUGCGCAGGCGGCUUUGCAAGACAGAGGUGAAAUCCCCGGGCUCAACCUGGGAACUGCCUUUGUGACUGCAAGGCUAGAGUACGGCAGAGGGGGAUGGAAUUCCGCGUGUAGCANUGAAAUGCGUAGAUAUGCGGAGGAACACCGAUGGNGAAGGCAAUCCCCUGGGCCCUGUACUGACGCUCAUGCACGAAAGCGUGGGGAGCAAACAGGAUUAGAUACCCUGGUAGUCC
rnacentral:rRNA from 1 species